UUGUCCACUUCACCCCACAGCAUCUUCCCCAACAAACCAAAGAUAACUUAUGAAGCACAGAGCUGAAUCCCAAAGAUUCACAACCCAUCUGUUGAGAAUAGCAGACACAGUUUGUCAACUGAUCAGAUGAUCGCAACAAACAAAGGCGUUGUUUUUGUAAACAAACUAAGUAUGCUGAGGUGAGACUAUUCCGUCAUACUCACAGUGAAAAUUUGAAAAAUGAAGGAGGUGAUGACAGGAACUGCAAAGGUAAAGGAUGCUGUAGGAAGUGUAACAGUCAGUGUAGAUCCUCAGCAGCAUGUGAAAUUUGAACAAAAUUCAUUUACAAAGACUGUCCCAAGGGAUGUAUAUAACAGAGUGAAAAAGCAUCUUUGGGAUGGUGUGUCACCGCUGUUUGUGCCUGAGGACAGAGAAGCACAAAGAUCAGUCCAAAACUGACUGCUUAUGAGUUUGUCUUUGUUGUCAUUAAUGAAAAACUCUAGUAUCGUUAUCUUUCUGUGUAAUGUUAGUGAUUUAACUGCUGGCAUAAAACAUCUCCAUUUCUCAUUAAGAUAUAAAAGAAUAUAACAAUAACAUCUUGGUCUUCCAUUGAAUGAAACAGAUAAAUAAUUAAUUGUUGGCAAGAAAUUAUUUUUGUGCUGCAUAUGUUACUUUAGGUACAUUGUUGUAAUAACAGUAAGAGACUUUGCCUGCAGUAUACCCUUGGAUAAUUACUCCAUAAAUGAAUUACUCCAUUACUCCUCUCUCUCUCUCUCUCUCUCUCUCUCUCUCUCUCUCUCUCUCUCUCUCUCUAUCUCUCUCUUCUUCCAUCCAUUCCUUCCUCACCAUCUCCCCCCCACCCCCCACCCCACCCCCACCCCUCCUCCUUUUUGGUUUUUGGGAUAGUGGCAUACAAGUAGUAUAAAAUGCUGUAUUGGCAAAGAUAUGUCAUCUGUGAACAGUAGCACAUAAGAAAAUAUUUUGUGAAUUGUAAUUUCUGUGUAAUCUAUGAGACAGCAUUUGACCAGCUUUUAGCUCUGCUGACGAAACCACUUAUGAAUUGUGACAAUUGUACUCUAAUACAUGCAGUCUUUAUUGGUCCCUUGACCCAUGAAAUACAUCACUAACUGAAACUGAAAUUGUUUUCACCAACUGUGGGAAGAAUAAAACAAAUGUUAAUGUA